rnacentral:misc_RNA from 1 species
GAAAUGCGAUACUUGGUGUGAAUUGCAGAAUCCCGUGAACCAUCGAGUCUUUGAACGCAAGUUGCGCCCGAUGCCAUUAGGUUGAGGGCACGUCUGCCUGGGUGUCACAUAUCGAAGCCUCCUUGACUAUUCUGCAGGGUGGAUGUUGGCCUCCCAUGAGCUCUUUUGUCUCAUGGUUGGUUGAAAAUUGAGACCUUGGUAGGGUGUGCCAUGAUAGAUGGUGGUUGUGUGACCCACGAGACCAAUCAUGCGCUUCUCUAUUGAAUUCGGCCUCUUUUACCCAUAUGCGUUUUUAAACGCUCGUGAUGAGACCUCAGGUCAGGCGGGACUACCCGCUGAAUUUAA